rnacentral:sRNA from 1 species
ACCUGCACUGAUCUCGUCGAUCAAACAGCUCCAUUGAACAGUAACCAGCCUGCCGAUUCCAUUAGCCAUCAUGAAGUCUGCCGUAGUACUUUGCCUUCUUGUUGUUCUCGUCAGCGAGGUCAUGUCAUAUAAGGCAUACAACUCAAAAGGCUACCAAGCCGCUAGUGGCUACCAGGAUGGCAGUUCCUACAAUGGCUAUUCCAACGGCUACACAGGUGACUAUAACAACGGAUACCAAGGUAACAAUGACAACGGCUACUACGGAGGCAGCAACGGUUACCAGGACAACAAUGGUUACGCUGGCGACAGCUACAACAACGACUACAAUGGUUACCAAAACAGCGGAUACAAUGGUAAUGGCUACGGAAGUAACGGAUAUAAAGGAGCUGAUGGCUACUAAAUAAAAAAGAAAUAGUGUAUCCUCUUGAGACCUACUUUUUGAGGAACAGAUUUCAUAUUAGAUAUGGCCACAUCCUAGAUUUAGUAGAACUAAUAAAUUGUUACUAAAUCCAA